rnacentral:rRNA from 1 species
GACGAACGCUGGCGGCGUGCUUAACACAUGCAAGUCGAACGAAAAGACGGAAAGAGCUUGCUCUUUUCAGAAUUGAGUGGCAAACGGGUGAGUAACACGUAAACAACCUGCCUUCAGGAUGGGGACAACAGACGGAAACGACUGCUAAUACCGAAUAAGUUCCAAGGGCCGCAUGGCCCAUGGAAGAAAAGGUGGCCUCUACCUGUAAGCUAUCGCCUGAAGAGGGGUUUGCGUCUGAUUAGCUGGUUGGAGGGGUAACGGCCCACCAAGGCGACGAUCAGUAGCCGGUCUGAGAGGAUGAACGGCCACACUGGAACUGAGACACGGUCCAGACUCCUACGGGAGGCAGCAGUGGGGAAUCUUCCGCAAUGGGCGAAAGCCUGACGGAGCAACGCCGCGUGAGUGAUGACGGCCUUCGGGUUGUAAAACUCUGUGAUCCGGGACGAAAAGGCAGAGUGCGAAGAACAAACUGC